rnacentral:rRNA from 1 species
CCUACGGGAGGCAGCAGUGAGGAAUAUUGGUCAAUGGCCGGAAGGCUGAACCAGCCAAGCCGCGUGAAGGACGAAGGUGCCAAGCAUUGUAAACUUCUUUUGUCAAGGGACAAAAUCAGGCUCGAGAGCCUGACCGAGGGUACUUGAAGAAAAAGCAUCGGCUAACUCCGUGCCAGCAGCCGCGGUAAUACGGAGGAUGCGAGCGUUAUCCGGAUUUAUUGGGUUUAAAGGGUGCGUAGGCGGACUGUUAAGUCAGCGGUAAAAGCCCGGGGCUCAACCCCGGCGAGCCGUUGAAACUGGCUGUCGUGAGAUGUCGGGAGGUAUGCGGAAUGCGCAGUGGAGCGGUGAAAUGCUUAGAUAUUGCGCAGAACUCCGAUUGCGAAGGCAGCAUACCGGCGGCGAUCUGACGCUGAGGCACGAAAGCGUGGGUAUCGAACAGGAUUAGAUACCCGAGUAGUC